ACGGGUAUUUAGGAGAGUUAGAUUAAGGAGAAAAAGUAGAAGCCAACAUGUUUAAUGAUAUGAUUAAUUAAUCUUAAAUAUUAUUAAUAGAAUAACUUCUCUUCUUCCUCAAUUAUGGCUGCCACUGGUCGCCGCCACUCUCAACACCGGCGAGGCCGCCGGCGCCGGCGCCUUCCCUUCGCCUCAUCUGAACUGUCAUCUCCCUCCACCCCCGUAGCCACCCACAAACAUCUCAAACAACAAAUAAAUCAUCCACGGAUCCGAAAAAAUUAACCAUCCGGGCAUCCACAGACAUCUCGAAUCCAUCCACAGAUCUGAACAACAAUGAAAAAAACAGCUACCCAAUCAAACUUAACCAUAAAAAGUGCUACCGAAUCGGAGAAACAUUGACGCAGAUGGAUUGAAUCAAAGUCAAAUUACGGCGAAAACAUGGUAAACUAAAAAGUAAAUUGACAGAUCUAAAUCCAAGAAAUUUAAGAAAUCUCCAUCUGCAAUUAAAACCCUUGCCUAAAAUCGCGGCUACGGCGGGAGGGUGGAAAGUGGUGGGAGGCGGCCGCUGCAUUCGCCACCUAGUCUCUUCUUUCCAGAUCUGAGGAGGAAAGAGUUGCGCCCUCACCUUCGUCUCUUCUUCCUCAGCACCGGCGGCACAGCAGAACUCUGGCGAUACAACAGAGGGAAGGCGAUGGAGGAUAGGGAAGGAAGAGAGGCGAAAGGCGGAGGGCACUCUCUGCUGCCGUUGCAACAAGUCCGGCAAGCGAAUCAGUGGAGGAAAAUGUGGUGGAGGAGAAGGUGGCGGAGGUAGAGGCGGAGAGGGUGGAAAAGGUGAGGGUGGAGUAGCGGUGAGAGAGAGCUGAGAUAAAAGGCCG
rnacentral:lncRNA from 1 species